rnacentral:rRNA from 1 species
GCAUAUCAAUAAGCGGAGGAAAAGAAACUAACAAGGAUUCCCCUAGUAACGGCGAGUGUAGCGGGAAGAGCUCAAAUUUUAAAUCUCCGAGGUUUCCUUGGCGAGUUGUAAUUUGAAGAGAGUGUUUUGACAUUCGGGUUUAAUCCAAAUCCUUUGGGAUAAGGUAUCAUAGAUGGUGAGAAUCCCGUUUAUGAUUGAAUCUCGUGUGUCGCUUAAUUCACUUUCCAAGAGUCGAGUUGUCUGGGAUUGCAGCUCAAAACGGGUGGUAAAUUUCACCUAAGGCUAAAUAUGUGCAAGAGACCGAUAGCGAACAAGUACCGUGAGGGAAAGAUGAAAAGAACUUUGAAAAGAGAGUUAAAUAGUACGUGAAAUUGUUGAAAGGGAAACGAUUGAAGUCAGUCAUGCUAGUGAGGAAUCAACCUGAUGGUGUGUGGGUUUUCCCUCGUACUUUCUGGUGCACUUUCUCACCCGGCAGGUUAGCAUCAAUUUCGGUUAUCAUAAAAAAUUUGAGAGAAUGUGGCUUUUCUUCGGAAAAGUGUUAUAGAUCUCGAUCUAUGUGGUGACCGGGAUUGAGGAUUGCAGCGGAUACCCUCGUGGCUCGUCACCUGGCUUCUGACGGAUGCCCCGCCUUCGAUAGCUCGCUAACGUCGGUGGGACUCGAUUGUCUAGAUGUCGGAGUGAUUGAUUUUCGCUAAGGAUGCUGACGUAAUGGCUUUAAACGAC